rnacentral:rRNA from 1 species
ACUCAAAUGAAUAGACGGGGACCCGCACAAGCGGAGGAGCAUGUGGUUUAAUUCGAUGAUACGCGAGGAACCUUACCCGGGCUCGAACGUAUAUUGAAUAAUAUGGAAACAUGUUAGUCGCAAGACAAUAUACGAGGUGCUGCAUGGUUGUCGUCAGCUCGUGCCGUGAGGUGUUAGGUUAAGUCCUGCAACGAGCGCAACCCUUACCUUUAGUUGCCAUCAGGUUAAGCUGGGGACUCUAAAGGAACUGCCUACGCAAGUAGAGAGGAAGGUGGGGAUGACGUCAAAUCAGCACGGCCCUUAUGUUCGGGGCUACACACGUGCUACAAUGGUCGGUACAGAGGGCAGCUACUUGGCAACAAGAUGCCAAUCUCUAAAAACGAUCUCAGUUCGGAUCGGAGGCUGAAACUCGCCUUCGUGAAGUCGGAUUCGCUAGUAAUCGCACAUCAGCCAUGGUGCGGUGAAUACGUUCCCGGGUCUUGUACACACCGCCCGU